UACGAAGGGGGCUAGCGUUGUUCGGAAUUACUGGGCGUAAAGCGCACGUAGGCGGAUUGUUAAGUUAGGGGUGAAAUCCCAGGGCUCAACCCUGGAACUGCCUUUAAUACUGGCAAUCUCGAGUCCGAGAGAGGUGAGUGGAAUUCCGAGUGUAGAGGUGAAAUUCGUAGAUAUCGUGAGGAAGACCAGUGGCGAAGGCGAAUCUCUGGACAGUUCCUGACGCUCAUGCACGAAGGCCAGGGGAGCAAACGGG
rnacentral:rRNA from 1 species